rnacentral:rRNA from 1 species
AGUGAACGCUGGCGGUAGGCCUAACACAUGCAAGUCGAACGGCAGCACAGUAAGAGCUUGCUCUCCGGGUGGCGAGUGGCGGACGGGUGAGGAAUACAUCGGAAUCUACUUUUUCGUGGGGGAUAACGCAGGGAAACUUACGCUAAUGCCGCAUACGACCUACGGGUGAAAGCAGGGGAUCUUCGGACCUUGCGCGAUUGAAUGAGCCGAUGUCGGAUUAGCUAGUUGGCGGGGUAAAGGCCCACCAAGGCGACGAUCCGUAGCUGGUCUGAGAGGAUGAUCAGCCACACUGGAACUGAGACACGGUCCAGACUCCUACGGGAGGCAGCAGUGGGGAAUAUUGGACAAUGGGCGCAAGCCUGAUCCAGCCAUACCGCGUGGGUGAAGAAGGCCUUCGGGUUGUAAAGCCCUUUUGUUGGGAAAGAAAAGCAGCAGGUUAAUACCCCGCUGUUCUGACGGUACCCAAAGAAUAAGCACCGGCUAACUUCGUG